GAGUAACUGUUGACAUCGUGACGGUAUCCAACCAGAAAGCCACGGCUAACUACGUGCCAGCAGCCGCGGUAAUACGUAGGUGGCAAGCGUUGUCCGGAUUUAUUGGGCGUAAAGCGAGCGCAGGCGGUUUUUUAGGUCUGAUGUGAAAGCCUUCGGCUUAACCGGAGAAGUGCAUCGGAAACCGGGAGACUUGAGUGCAGAAGAGGACAGUGGAACUCCAUGUGUAGCGGUGAAAUGCGUAGAUAUAUGGAAGAACACCAGUGGCGAAGGCGGCUGUCUGGUCUGCAACUGACGCUGAGGCUCGAAAGCAUGGGUAGCGAACAGGAUUAGAUACCCUGGUAGUCCAUGCCGUAAACGAUGAGUGCUAAGUGUUGGAGGGUUUCCGCCCUUCAGUGCUGCAGCUAACGCAUUAAGCACUCCGCCUGGGGAGUACGACCGCAAGGUUGAAACUCAAAGGAAUUGACGGGGGCCCGCACAAGCGGUGGAGCAUGUGGUUUAAUUCGAUGCUACGCGAAGAACCUUACCAGGUCUUGACAUCUUCUGCUAACCUAAGAGAUUAGGCGUUCCCUUCGGGGACGGAAUGACAGGUGGUGCAUGGUUGUCGUCAGCUCGUGUCGUGAGAUGUUGGGUUAAGUCCCGCAACGAGCGCAACCCUUAUUGUCAGUUGCCAGCAUCCAGUUGGGCACUCUGGCGAGACUGCCGGUGACAAACCGGAGGAAGGUGGGGAUGACGUCAAAUCAUCAUGCCCCUUAUGACCUGGGCUACACACGUGCUACAAUGGACGGUACAACGAGUCGCGAAACCGCGAGGUCAAGCUAAUCUCUGAAAGCCGUUCUCAGUUCGGAUUGCAGGCUGCAACUCGCCUGCAUGAAGUUGGAAUCGCUAGUAAUCGUGGAUCAGCAUGCCACGGUGAAUACGUUCCCGGGCCUUGUACACACCGCCCGUCACACCAUGAGAGUUUGUAACACCCAAAGCCGGUGAGGUAACCUUCGGGGGCCAGCCGUCUAAGGUGGGACAGAUGAUUAGGGUGAAGUCGUAACAAGGUAGCCGUAGGAGAACCUGCGGCUGGAUCACCUCCUUUCUAA
rnacentral:rRNA from 1 species